UGGGGAAUAUUGGACAAUGGGCGAAAGCCUGAUCCAGCAAUACCGCGUGUGUGAAGAAGGCCUGAGGGUUGUAAAGCACUUUCAAUAGGGAGGAAAACCUGCCGGCUAAUACCCGGUAGCUUGACAUUACCUAUAUAAGAAGCACCGGCUAACUCCGUGCCAGCAGCCGCGGUAAUACGGAGGGUGCGAGCGUUAAUCGGAAUUACUGGGCGUAAAGCGUGCGUAGGCGGCUUUUUAAGUCAGAUGUGAAAGCCCCGGGCUUAACCUGGGAACUGCAUUUGAUACUGGGGAGCUAGAGUUUAAUAGAGGGGAGUGGAAUUUCCGGUGUAGCGGUGAAAUGCGUAGAGAUCGGAAGGAACACCAGUGGCGAAGGCGACUCCCUGGAUUAAAACUGACGCUGAGGUACGAAAGCGUGGGUAGCAAACAGG
rnacentral:rRNA from 1 species